rnacentral:lncRNA from 1 species
GAGUUCCUCCCCAGCUUCUGGCUCCUAGGGUCAAGGCGAUUUCAGGCUUGGAAAGGGACUUCCGUCGCAAAUCUUUCUGUUUUUGCUAAAGCUGCGGUCGCAAGGCCUAGUGAUCGCCUGAAACGUCGUUUUAAAGGGGCGUUGCAUGGAAUGUUCGGCCAUCCCUGCUGAAAGUUUUUACCUCUUUCUCCAGUUCUCCACCCUGCACUGUGUACUCCGAGGCCGGUCUCCCAGAUUGGCCUUCUCUAUUUCGGCCACCCUGGGCGGUCCGUGACUUGGCGUCUUCUGCCCUCGCCUCCUCAUUCGGGUUCCCCUAGGGGUCUCUCC